rnacentral:tRNA from 1 species
GCAUUCAUGGUUCAGUGGUAGAAUUCUCACCUUCCACGUGGAAGAGCUGGGUUCAGUUCCUGGCCAAUGCA